CUGGGGAGUACGGCCGCAAGGCUGAAACUCAAAGGAAUUGACGGGGGCCCGCACAAGCGGAGGAACAUGUGGUUUAAUUCGAUGAUACGCGAGGAACCUUACCCGGGCUCGAACGGCAGCUGAAUAUGCCAGAGAUGGUAUAGUCUUCGGACAGUUGUCGAGGUGCUGCAUGGUUGUCGUCAGCUCGUGCUGUGAAGUGUCGGCUUAAGUGCCAUAACGAGCGCAACCCUUGCCUUCAGUUGCCAUCAGGUAAAGCUGGGGACUCUGGAGGGACUGCCACCGCAAGGUGCGAGGAAGGGGGGGAUGACGUCAAAUCAGCACGGCCCUUACGUCCGGGGCGACACACGUGUUACAAUGGCAGGUACAGAGGGGUGCUACCGGGUGACCGGAUGCCGAUCUCGAAAACCUGUCCCAGUUCGGACUGGAGUCUGCAACCCGACUCCACGAAGUUGGAUUCGCUAGUAAUCGCGCAUCAGCCAUGGCGCGGUGAAUACGUUCCC
rnacentral:rRNA from 1 species